AUUUCACUAAGCAGCCUCCUGUGGAAAGAGGGAGACUUGAUUAGUGUGUGUGCAUAUAAGUUGCCUGUCCACAUUUGGAAACUCAGCCACUGAGAGAUACAUCAGCUUGAUGUUCACUGCCAUUCUAAAGCUCUCUGCAUUCUUUGUGAAAAGGUUUUGAUGGUGUAAGAAAAUAAGAAAGCCACAUCUUCAAAAUGCAGCUUCUGAAACCAGAUAAAAGCUUGAAUUCCACUUGGAGAGGCUGAUCCACAGGGGCAAAUGCAAAAGGAAGGUGCUCAAGGCCUGUGUCCUGGGAUGCUGAAGGGACAUUCAAUCCCAAGGCAGGGUUCACA
rnacentral:lncRNA from 1 species